rnacentral:lncRNA from 1 species
GCCAAAUAUUUGGUCCAACAGGAAACCCCAAAACCAUAGAAAGUGCUAUGAGAGGGAUACCAAACUCAGCAGUGCUUAACUUUCAGGAACCAAAAGGAUGAACUCAAUAUAAUUAGUGAUAGGGUUGGAGUAGCAGACAUGAGUAACUACUGAGAGUAAGGAAGUGAUAGAAUAUGACUUCUCUUGUUCUGUCAGCAGACCAAAAGAAUAUAACUAAAUUUGUACCAUCAAAAAAAAUUUGAUGAACUUUGUAACCUCAAUAAAUGUCAUAAUGACAUGUCCAAAUUCUGAAUCUAAACCAGUUUUUAGAACCAAAACAUACUGACAGAAGCUAAGACCCCAGAAGAAAAUCCCCACUGUACCUUGGUAAACACGCAUUCACAGUUCUCCUACCAUGUUCCUACAACUAUUUAACUAGGUAUCUAUACAUUUUUAAAACUGACAUAAACAGUCUGAAUUGUCAUGGAUACCCAUAAGGUAGAUUU